rnacentral:rRNA from 1 species
GACGAACGCUGGCGGCGUGCUUAACACAUGCAAGUUGACAAAAGUGGCGGAUGGGCGAGUAACACGUGAGUAACCUGCCCCCCUCUCUGGGAUAACAGUUGGAAACGGCUGCUAAUACCGGAUAGUGUGGGAUGGACUCGCGUCCUAUCCGCUUGUUGGUGGGGUAGUGGCCUACCACGGCGACGACGGGUAGCCGGCCUGGGAGAGCGAACGGCCACAUUGGGACUGAGAGACGGACCAAGAGCCUAUGGGAGGCAGCAGUGGGGAAUAUUGCACAAUGGGGGAAACCCUGAUGAAGCAGCGCCGCGUGCGGGAUGACGGCCUUCGGGUUGUAAACCGCUUUCAGCCAUGACGCGGUAGUGGCAGAAGAAGCACCGGCUAACUACGUGCCAGCAGCCGCGGUAAUUC